rnacentral:rRNA from 1 species
CCUACGGGUGGCAGCAGUAGGGAAUUUUCGGCAAUGGGGGGAACCCUGACCGAGCAACGCCGCGUGAAGGAAGAAGGAAUUCGUUCUGUAAACUUCUUUUAUAAAGGAAGAAAGACGGAUGUAGUAAAUGACAUCCGAGUGACGGUACUUUAUGAGAAAGCCACGGCUAACUACGUGCCAGCAGCCGCGGUAAUACGUAGGAUGCGAGCGUUAUCCGGAUUUAUUGGGUUUAAAGGGUGCGCAGUCGGGAGAUCAAGUCAGCGGUAAAAUGUCGGGGCUAAACCCCGGCCGGCCGUUGAAACUGGUUUUCUAGAGUUGGAGAGAAGUAUGCGGAAUUCGAGGUGUAGCGGUGAAAUGCAUAGAUAUCACGAAGAACUCCGAUUGCGAAGGCAGCAUACCGGCUCCAUACUGACGCUGAGGCACGAAAGCGUGGGGAUCGAACAGGAUUAGAUACCCCUGUAGUC